rnacentral:rRNA from 1 species
UCUCGGGGUUAUUGGGCGUAAAGGGCUCGCAGGCGGUUUCUUAAGUCUGAUGUGAAAGCCCCCGGCUCAACCGGGGAGGGUCAUUGGAAACUGGGGAACUUGAGUGCAGAAGAGGAGAGUGGAAUUCCACGUGUAGCGGUGAAAUGCGUAGAGAUGUGGAGGAACACCAGUGGCGAAGGCGACUCUCUGGUCUGUAACUGACGCUGAGGAGCGAAAGCGUGGGGAGCGAACAGGAUUAGAUACCCUGGUAGUCCACGCCGUAAACGAUGAGUGCUAAGUGUUAGGGGGUUUCCGCCCCUUAGUGCUGCAGCUAACGCAUUAAGCACUCCGCCUGGGGAGUACGGUCGCAAGACUGAAACUCAAAGGAUAUGACGGA